rnacentral:snoRNA from 2 species
AAAUUGCUGUGAUGACUUACAAAGGACGGUAUCUGAGCGAGGCAACUAUUAUCCUCGCAUGAUUAUACCUGAUUCGGAGACAAAUUGUCUGAGCAAGUA